AUCCAGCUGACGAGUACCAAAUAGGACGAAAUGCGCGUCCUAGAU
rnacentral:hammerhead_ribozyme from 1 species